rnacentral:rRNA from 1 species
AUUGAACGCUGGCGGCAGGCUUAACACAUGCAAGUCGAACGAGUGGCGGACGGGUGAGUAAUGCCUGGGAAUCUGGCUGAUGGAGGGGGAUAACUACUGGAAACGGUAGCUAAUACCGCGUACCAUAGGAUGAGCCCAGAUGGGAUUAGGUUGUUGGUGGGGUAAAGGCUCACCAAGCCGACGAUCCCUAGCUGGUCUGAGAGGAUGACCAGCCACACUGGAACUGAGACACGGCCCAGACUCCUACGGGAGGCAGCAGUGGGGAAUAUUGCGCAAUGGGGGCAACCCUGACGCAGCCAUGCCGCGUGUAUGAAGAAGGCCUUCGGGUUGUAAAGUCCUUUCGGUGGGGAGGCGUUAACUGCAGAAGAAGCACCGGCUAACUCCGUGCCAGCAGCCGCGGUAAUUC